rnacentral:rRNA from 1 species
CCUACGGGAGGCUGCAGUGGGGAAUAUUGGACAAUGGGGGGAACCCUGAUCCAGCCAUGCCGCGUGUGUGAAGAAGGCCCUCGGGUUGUAAAGCACUUUCAGUGAGGAAGAACGCCUGGUGGUUAAUACCCAUCAGGAAAGACAUCACUCACAGAAGAAGCACCGGCUAACUCCGUGCCAGCAGCCGCGGUAAUACGGAGGGUGCGAGCGUUAAUCGGAAUUACUGGGCGUAAAGCGCGCGUAGGUGGCUUGAUAAGCCGGUUGUGAAAGCCCCGGGCUCAACCUGGGAACGGCAUCCGGAACUGUCAAGCUAGAGUGCAGGAGAGGAAGGUAGAAUUCCCGGUGUAGCGGUGAAAUGCGUAGAGAUCGGGAGGAAUACCAGUGGCGAAGGCGGCCUUCUGGACUGACACUGACACUGAGGUGCGAAAGCGUGGGUAGCAACCAGGAUUAGAUACCCCAGUAGUC